rnacentral:rRNA from 1 species
UACAGAGGGGGCAAGCGUUGUUCGGAAUUACUGGGCGUAAAGGGCGCGUAGGCGGCCUUCUAAGUCGAACGUGAAAUCCCCGGGCUCAACCUGGGAACUGCGUCCGAUACUGGAUGGCUUGAAUCCGGGAGAGGGAUGCAGAAUUCCAGGUGUAGCGGUGAAAUGCGUAGAUAUCUGGAGGAAUACCGGUGGCGAAGGCGGCAUCCUGGACCGGCAUUGACGCUGAGGAGCGAAAGCCAGGGGAGCAAACGGG